GGCAAUGCAAGGAACUUUUCCUCUCAACGGAACAUACUUUCAAGCUAAUGAGGUGCUAGCUGAUUAUAAAACAAGUGAAAACCCAAUCGAUGUUCCUGUGUCAUCGAUACAACAUUUGAGGAGACGAACACUAUAUUGUGGAAACAGUGUUUCGGGAAUGUUUAUAGGUAUAUGUAUGUGUUUUGGAAUUGAUUACAGUGGUUGGAAAAUUUUGCUUGUUAGCUUACAUUCUCCGUACCAGGUUUAUUGACCAAAGAAAUCUGGGACUGCUUUAAGAAAGGGUUCAUUUGUGUGAGAGGGUUUGACCGGAAAACCAGGGAGCCGAAACCUUUAGCAAGAAGAUUACACCGCAGCUAAUCUUCUGAAUAUGUUCAGAAGAUUACAAGAAAGGAGAACGUCCGAACACAGGCCUGCUGCUGUUGCUGCUGCUAUUUUGGAAUAUGAUCAGAUUGCAAUUCCAUGAGCAAUGGUACUUGUGAAGCUUGCUAGUACUGUGUAUCCACAAUCCAGCUUUCGUUUGUGCUUGGAAUUGAUGUGGUGGUCGGAUUGCAGAUGGACAAUUAAUCAGUAUUAGUAAAGACUAAUUUUGUUUACCAGACGCUCACCACAUUUUGAAAGGGGUUAGAAUCUCAAGCAUUCUUGCUCUAAAGCUUUAUACUGGCAUAUAUGUCGAUGUAUUUGACUUCCAGACACUGGUAUACAUUUUUUUUUCCAUGAAAAACAAAUGCAGCUAGAGAGAAGAGAACCUGAUGAUCCCUGCCCUUACCUUCUUGUUGUAUGG